UACGUAGGUGGCAAGCGUUGUCCGGAAUUAUUGGGCGUAAAGAGCCUGUAGGCGGUUUGUCGCGUCUGCUGUGAAAUUUCGGGGCUCAACCCCGAACUUGCAGUGGGUACGGGCAGACUAGAGUGUGGUAGGGGAGACUGGAAUUCCUGGUGUAGCGGUGAAAUGCGCAGAUAUCAGGAGGAACACCGAUGGCGAAGGCAGGUCUCUGGGCCAUAACCGACGCUGAGAAGCGAAAGCAUGGGGAGCGAACAGG
rnacentral:rRNA from 1 species